rnacentral:rRNA from 1 species
CACUCCUACGGGAGGCAGCAGUGGGGAAUAUUGCACAAUGGGCGCAAGCCUGAUGCAGCCAUGCCGCGUGUAUGAAGAAGGCCUUCGGGUUGUAAAGUACUUUCAGCGGGGAGGAAGGCGAUAAGGUUAAUAACCUUGUCGAUUGACGUUACCCGCAGAAGAAGCACCGGCUAACUCCGUGCCAGCAGCCGCGGUAAUACGGAGGGUGCAAGCGUUAAUCGGAAUUACUGGGCGUAAAGCGCACGCAGGCGGUCUGUCAAGUCGGAUGUGAAAUCCCCGGGCUCAACCUGGGAACUGCAUUCGAAACUGGCAGGCUAGAGUCUUGUAGAGGGGGGUAGAAUUCCAGGUGUAGCGGUGAAAUGCGUAGAGAUCUGGAGGAAUACCGGUGGCGAAGGCGGCCCCCUGGACAAAGACUGACGCUCAGGUGCGAAAGCGUGGGGAGCAAACAGGAUUAGAUACCCUUGUAGUCCCA